rnacentral:rRNA from 1 species
GAUGAACGCUGGCGGCAUGCCUAACACAUGCAAGUCGAUCGGUAAGGCUCUUCGGAGUACACGAGAGGAGGACGGCUGAGUAACGCGUAGGAACACACCCUGCAGUGAGGGAUAAGACACCGAAAGGUGUUCUAAUACCGCAUACGGUCUUCGGAUUAAAGCAUUUAUGCGCUGAAGGAGUGGCCUGCGUCAUAUUAGAUAGUUGGUGAGGUAAUGGCUCACCAAGUCGAUGAUGUGUAGCUGGUCUGAGAGGAUGAUCAGCCAGACUGGAACUGAGACACGGUCCAGACUCCUACGGGAGGCAGCAGUGAGGAAUAUUUCACAAUGAGCGAAAGCUUGAUGGAGCAAUGCCGCGUGCAGGAUGAAGGCCCUCGGGUUGUAAACUGCUUUUAUAAGAGAAGAUUAUGACGGUAACUUAUGAAUAAGGGACGGCUAACUACGUG